rnacentral:lncRNA from 1 species
UCUGGGCUUGGGUGUAAGAGCUAGACCGGAAGUGCGGUUGGGAAGAGACCGGAAGUGUCUGUAUUCAGAGAGGAGAGGAGCCUGGGAAGGCGGGAGUGUGGGGAAGGACCCAAAGUUGUUUCUAAACCUGGGGUGAUCUGCAGCUGAUCCCGGUGACUCCCAGCAUGAGGGAUGCAGAGCUCAAGGGGAGGGGCGCUAAGGUACCAGAUGAUGGCUCCUCACCACACUGUCCCCAUGAUGGUCCAGGCUGCCAGUGGGGGCUCUUAGCCCAGGAUGGAGUUCUAUGUAAGUGCUCAGUAGAAGUGAGGGGCUAUCUCUGACAGUUGAGAAAGGUAGGGCCCAACACCAGGAGGGUAAUGAGAGCUAAGAGCCAACUAAAAAUACCUGAUCAAGGCCCAGAUAGAAGGACCUUGGCCAAGGUCAUGUUAUAGUCAGGCUGCUGUAGAGUUCAGAGCCCAAAGCAGGUCGCUGUGCCCAGGAUAAGGGCAGCCCGCAGUCAGCACCGGCAGCUUUUCUAGGGGUGAUUCAUUCUUUCCUCUGGCCCCUCCUCCCUAAGACCAACCUUGGCUGUCCCUGGCAGCUGGGAGCAGCGACAGGUGAAGAUAGGAGGUGAUAAACAUGUCCCCUGACUUCCGUGAACCUCCAUCCAAUUUGCUGCCUGCGAGCUGUGCCAAGAGUGUUUGCUAAUAAGCCAAAUGGACUUCCCAGAGUCCACUUGAAGUGACUGACGGCCUGGGUUGUGAAAUCCUGGAGGCGAUCGCUCAGCUUCCUUCCCUCCAAGCUCACUACAGCCGGAGGGAGGGGCACGGAGGAGGCACAGACCUCAGCUUCCAGUCUCAGCCUCUGGAAGCAUCCUGGCUCCAGGGACUCUCCAAGGUCAUCUCAUCCAACGCUAUCAAGGAACAGGGAAAGAGUCUGGAUAAUGGAAAAUUUGUGUAACACAACCUUAGCUCUGCUUGACCUUGGCGUGUCUGGCCCCAGAGGUACCGGUAUCUUCACACUCCAGCAUUUGAUCCUGAAGCCUCUGGUGGGUGAGUCUAGAAGGGGCUCCAAGAACAACACACUUCACCUUCCCUGCCUGCAAAGAACGCUCCCUGGGCCAGGAGGAUGACAGGCCGGGAAAAGCUCUGCUCAGGGGCUAACCAUCAGGCCACACCUUCGGACAGCUUCAUCUGCAGUCAGGAUGACAUCUGCCCUCCUUCUGGCCGAUCCUGACACCAGCUCCUCUCUGGGUUCCAACCCUAUUAUCCCUUAAGCCCCAGU